rnacentral:rRNA from 1 species
GAAUCAUGGCUCAGGAUGAACGCUAGCUACAGGCUUAACACAUGCAAGUCGAGGGGAAACGAUAUUGGAAGCUUGCUUCCGAUAGGCGUCGACCGGCGCACGGGUGAGUAACGCGUAUCCAACCUGCCCACCACUCGGGGAUAACCUUGCGAAAGUAAGACUAAUACCCAAUGAUAUCUCUAGAAGACAUCUGAAAGAGAUUAAAGAUUUAUCGGUGAUGGAUGGGGAUGCGU